rnacentral:rRNA from 1 species
GAUGAACGCUGACAGAAUGCUUAACACAUGCAAGUCGAGCGAGCGGCGGACGGGUGAGUAAUGUAUGGGGACUGCCCGAUAGAGGGGGAUAACUACUGGAAACGGUGGCUAAUACCGCAUACUGUCGGCUAACCCAUAUGGGAUUAGCUAGUGGGUAAGUGAAUGGCUUACCUAGGCGACGAUCCCUAGCUGGUCUGCGAGGUUGAUCAGCCAAACGGGGACUGAGAAAAGGCCCGAACUCCACCGGAGGAAGCAGUGGGGAAAAUGGGACAAUGGGCGCAAGCCGGAGAAAGACAUGCGGCGUGUAUGAGGAAGGCCCUAGGGUUGUAAAGUACUUUCAGUCGGGAGGCGUUACCGAAAGAAGAAGCACCGGCUAACUCCGUGCCAGCAGCCGCGGUAAUUC